UACGGGGGGGGUAAGCGUUGUUCGGAAUUACUGGGCGUAAAGGGCUCGUAGGCGGCCAACUAAGUCAUACGUGAAAUCCCUCAGCUUAACUGGGGAACUGCGUGUGAUACUGGAUGGCUUGGAUCCGGGAGAGGGAUGCGGAAUUCCAGGUGUAGCGGUGAAAUGCGUAGAUAUCGGGAGGAACACCGGUGGCGAAGGCGGCAUCCUGGACCAAUAUUGACGCUGAGGAGCGAAAGCCAGGGGAGCAAAC
rnacentral:rRNA from 1 species